GGAUGAAAAAAUAAUGCAUUGUAUGCUGGAAGGGAUAAAUCUGGGACUGAGUACAAGCAAAACAAGAAGACCAAAGGAAGUUAGCUGAGCAGGUAUCCCAGAUAUUCAUGUCAUCCACCAAGGUUGUAUCAGUGGCCCUUUCUCUGUGACACAUCCAUCCAUUGGAAACUUUGUACAACUAGCUGAAGGAAGAGAAACAUUAUGUUUUACAUGUCUGGACGACUUCCUGGAAACUGCAACACUUGGGACUACCCAAGGAUUGAGACUUCUAUUAUGUUCACUGGAGCCCUAAUGAUCGCAGCCAUUUCAGGAGAUGCCAUCAAUUACAGCCAGGAGCUCAUUCAGAAGUGAAAGAUGAGUUCCAUUCUCUGUUACUUAGAGUUUUAUGGCCCCUGCAUUUUGAGAAUGCAACUGCAUAUGAGAACCAAACUUCUUGGAAAUUCUAACGGGCAUGUCAUAGGCAGCCUAGCUACUUUAACAGAGCAUUUCAAUCAGCCUUUCCCCACGGUUUGGCCAAAUAAUUAAUAUGUUUCCUGGCAACAUACUGAGAAAGAAAGCUGGUAUAGAAUCAUUCUAACAACAGACCAAGAUGAGAGAAGAAGCCAAAUCUACUCCAUUUCUCAACCUUCAGUCUUCUUGCAUAUGGGAAAAAGAUAUUUCCCAGAAUUACUUCAGACUGUGACAACUGCAAAGGUCUGGUGGGACCCUGGAGUGCUGCAGGUUCCUAGAGUUCAACCCUCAUGGUAGGUUGUCUCUAGGGGAAGGAUACAGCAAACCAAAGUACCCUCUGGGACAAAGGAAACCAGAUUGUGCAUCUCUUCUGCCAGAUAUCUCCCCAGUUGUGAGAAGAAGAGUUACAUAUUCAGAUACAAGAAGCUCAAGGAACACCUGGGAGAUACUUUGCGAGAUGAACCUCAUCAAGGAAUAUAGUCAUCAGACUAUCUAAAAUCAAUAUGAAGGAAAAAGCUGUAAAAGCAGUGAAAGAGAAGCAUCUAAUAACUUAUAAAUGAAAUCUUAUCAAAUUAACAGUGCACUGCAUAGCAGAAGUCUUACAAGCCAGGAUCCUAUUUUGUCCUCUAAGAAGAAAAAAAAAAAGAAAAAAAAAUCUGCCCGUCAAUAAUUUUGCAGCUUGCCAAACCAAGCUUUAUAAAUGUAGAGAUAAAGUAUUUCUCAGACAGUCACAUGCUGAGGGAAUUCAUCUCCACUGGCCUGGUUCUACAAGAAAUGCUUGAAGGAGUUCUGAACAUGGAAAUAAAAGAUGAUACUUCCUGUCCUAAAAGCACAUAAAAGUAUAAAAUUAUCAGAUCCUAUAAAGCAGUUAGAUAAUUGACACUAAAAACCUGUUUAUUUGCCACACACAACUGCCUAUAUCACUGACCCAAACUUUGAAGUGCUAUUUGCUUCAAUUUCCAGGCAAAUAGACUCUCUGUACACUCAGUACCUUACCCACUUGGCAUUCCCUUCAUUUUCUCCAUAGAUUCAAAAUGAGCCUUUUCAUUAACUGCUUUCUGUUGAUUUCCAACCUAUUUCUUUGAUAUAUAUCUGUAAGCUUUUCUAAAUCUAGGAAUUGGCUAAAUAUAAUGCAUGAUGGACUGAGUUGAACACCAGAAUUAAGGAUAAGAUGCUCAGAUUUACUAAACAAGUUAUGGCCUACUUAUGUGGGCUAUGAUUCCAAUAACAGUUUAAUUUUCAAAGACUUCACUAUAUUGUUUUGAUUUGCCUGGUACUUGUGGUACCACUGGUGCUCCCACUGGUCUUUGCUGAUGCUGUCUAGAGAGGCAGAAAGGUGACCCCAGUGUGGCCACCUGGUGUAUUCUGAAGGAGAGGAGUCGAGUCCCCGGACUGUGGUAUAAAAAGUCUUCCCUGUUAGAUGCUUGUUGUGACAAUUCAAUGUCUGUCUGUUGGGGAUAGAUAGUGGCUCCCCAAUUGCUUGUUGUGCUGUGAUCUUCUGCUGUAUUUUCUUUUUCUUUUUUUGAGGCAGAAUCUCACUCUGUCACCCAAGCUGGAAUG